AUUGAACGCUGGCGGCAGGCCUAACACAUGCAAGUCGAGCGGAUGAAGGGAGCUUGCUCCUGGAUUCAGCGGCGGACGGGUGAGUAAUGCCUAGGAAUCUGCCUGGUCUUGGGGGAUAACGUCCGUAAACGGGCGCUAAUACCGCAUACGUCCUGAGGGAGAAAGUGGGGGAUCUUCGGACCUCACGCUAUCAGAUGAGCCUAGGUCGGAUUAGCUAGUUGGUGGGGUAAAGGCCUACCAAGGCGACGAUCCGUAACUGGUCUGAGAGGAUGGUCAGUCACACUGGAACUGAGACGCGGUCCAGACUACUACGGGAGGCAGCAGUGGGGAAUAUUGGACAAAGGGCGAAAGCCUGAUCCAGCCAUGCCGCGUGUGUGAAGAAGGUCUUCGGAUUGUAAAGCACUUUUAGUUGGGAGGAAGGGCAGUAAGUUAAUACCGUGCUGUUUUGACGUUACCGACAGAAUAAGCACCGGCUAACUUCGUG
rnacentral:rRNA from 1 species